rnacentral:rRNA from 1 species
GUGCCAGCAGCCGCGGUAAUACAGAGGGUGCAAGCGUUGUUCGGAAUUACUGGGCGUAAAGCGCGUGUAGGUGGCGAUGUAAGUCGGGUGUGAAAUCCCUCAGCUUAACUGAGGAAGUGCACUCGAUACUGUGUCGCUUGAGUGUUGGAGGGGAUGGCGGAAUUCCCGGUGUAGAGGUGAAAUUCGUAGAUAUCGGGAGGAACACCUGUGGCGAAGGCGGCCAUCUGGACAACUACUGACACUGAGACGCGAAAGCGUGGGUAGCAAACAGGAUUAGAUACCCUUGUAGUCC